rnacentral:lncRNA from 1 species
GUUUCAACAUUUUAGAAUUACAGUGAUGAAAUGAGUACAUUUGAGCUUACAAGUUCUUUAGGCACCUUCUCCUUAUUCAAGUAUUUAACAUUGCUAGGAGUUGAGCUAGGUCCCAGGAGAGCAGCCAUAUUUUUUGAAGCCCUUGAUUCAUGUUUGGAUUUUACAAAAUUGGGCAAGCUGUAUGAGGGCAGCCUAGGAAAAGGAAGGGGAAGAUGUUGUUCAGACUAUGCAAAUAAGCCAGGGAUCAACAGCCAAGAAGCUAAGCAAAAUGAGCUGCUUAGUAAGAAACAGGCUUUUCAUAGAAAUGAUGUCUAAUUCAGAGGCUGGGUGCUGCCCUUCUCAGCACAAAUUCUUAACUCCUUUACUGAGAAAUUAUGCAACUGACUUAAUUCCACGUAGUUCAAGAAAAUACAGGAGGAGAUGACUCCACAUCCUGGGUGGUAUUAGUCACCUUAUCCCUCAGGAGCUCUCCUAAGUGGGCAGAACAAUGAGAACUUGUAUUUUUCCCUAAGAUCUCUGCUUAAUCACACCACCAUGCUAUCCAAAAUAUUCAUUAAAGUUAACAAAGGUGACUG